rnacentral:rRNA from 1 species
UCUUGGUCAUUUAGAGGAAGUAAAAGUCGUAACAAGGUUUCCGUAGGUGAACCUGCGGAAGGAUCAUUACCUUUCUGCCCUUCGGGGCACAGUUGGAGGCUUCGGCCUCCCUCUGCAUCCUUGUCUUUUGCGUACUACAUGUUUCCUCGGCGGGCUUGCCCGCCGGUUGGACAACUUCAAACUCUUUGUAAUUGCAAUCAGCGUCUGAAAAAUAUAAUAUUUACAACUUUCAACAACGGAUCUCUUGGUUCUGGCAUCGAUGAAGAACGCAGCGAAAUGCGAUAAGUAGUGUGAAUUGCAGAAUUCAGUGAAUCAUCGAAUCUUUGAACGCACAUUGCGCCCCUUGGUAUUCCAUGGGGCAUGCCUGUUCGAGCGUCAUUUGUACCUUCAAGCUCUGCUUGGUGUUGGGUGUUUGUCUGCAAAGACUCGCCUUAAAGCAAUUGGCAGCCGGCAUAUUGUCUAGGAGCGCAGCACAUUUUGCGCUUGUUUUACAAGAUGUUGGCGUCCACAAGCCUUUUUUCACUUUUGACCUCGGAUCAGGUAGGGAUACCCGCUGAACUUAAGCAUAUCAAUAAGCGGAGGAA